AUUGAACGCUGGCGGCAUGCUUUACACAUGCAAGUCGAACGGUAACAGGCCGCAAGGUGCUGACGAGUGGCGAACGGGUGAGUAAUGCAUCGGAACGUGCCCAGUCGUGGGGGAUAACGCAGCGAAAGCUGCGCUAAUACCGCAUACGAUCUAUGGAUGAAAGCGGGGGACCGUAAGGCCUCGCGCGAUUGGAGCGGCCGAUGUCAGAUUAGGUAGUUGGUGGGGUAAAGGCUCAACAAGCCGACGAUCUGUAGCUGGUCUGAGAGGACGACCAGCCACACUGGGACUGAGACACGGCCCAGACUCCUACGGGAGGCAGCAGUGGGGAAUUUUGGACAAUGGGCGCAAGCCUGAUCCAGCAAUGCCGCGUGCAGGAAGAAGGCCUUCGGGGUGUAAACUGCUUUUGUACGGAACGAAACGGCUCUGGUUAAUACCUGGGGCUAAUGACGGUACCGUAAGAAUAAGCACCGGCUAACUACGUGCCAGCAGCCGCCGUAAUAC
rnacentral:rRNA from 1 species